AGCUCGUUAGUUUAGUUGGUUAAAACACUUGGCCCAUGACCGAGAUCCCGGAGUUCAAAUCUUCGACGAGCUA